UGUGUGGAGGGGGUGGCCACGCUCGUGC
rnacentral:piRNA from 1 species